CCCAGAUGCUGCAGGAACAGCCGUUGCCAGCUUUCCCUCUAACCUGGAGCAGCUCCUGCAGCGGCAGAGGCUGAGGACAAAUUUGCCUGUUUCUUGCCAAGAACUUGGAAGCUCCAGGACAUCCUCAUAUCCCGACAGCCAGAGCUGCUCCCACAUUUGAGGAACAAGCAAAACAAGAGAGCUCCGACACUAAGGGUCGCCGGGCAGAAGAAAGCUCAUCUCUCUGGGCCUCUGCUCAGGCCUGUGGCCCUGGUCGCAGCCUGAUGGGACCAGGCACUUGACCUCUGAGCACUGCCUGGGGGAGGCAAAUCCAGCGCAAGCGAUUUUCUCUCUUCCCCCCUCAAGCACAGAGGCAGCGACCGCUGUUUGAACUGGCUGUGGUAUUCUGCACGGCGCCUACCUGCUGCGAUGCUGUGCCCUGCUCUCUUCCGCCCCGGGGGCCGCCUUUUAGGGCUUACCAAAGAGAUUUCUCGUCGGUGCACAGCGGGAGAUGGAGACUGCAUCUGGAUGGAUUGCAUGCCUCCCCCAGUGUGUGCUCGGAUCCCGCUGCCAUAAUAUCUCCACUAUGGGACUCCCACAUCCCUUUGGUUAAGGAGAGGUUAAAGGAAUUCAAGACCCCCAGUUCCUCCCUUGGUUCUUUGCAUUAGGGAACUGUCAAGGCCAAGCUGAGAGUCCCUGCGGGGUCUCCCAUAAGAGAACUGCUUUUCUGGGGUUGUUGCCAAAUUCCCCUCUGCCUCCCCUCAUCCCUGGCGUGUAGUUUGCUGAGUCCUCUCCAGACUGCACAGAGCCUCGCAAAGCCACUGGUCUCCCCCUCUCCCGUGAGGAAGGCAGUCUGGACUCUUCACUCUUCACUGCUAAUGGAAGAGAAGGGGCUGCCAGCACAGAUUAACUUCUCCUGUCUCUUUCGCGAAAGCAGACCCAAACCCAAAGGAACAUAUUUCCUUUCUGGCCCAGUUUCACGUGUUGAUUUUAUGGCUCCAUUGUGUUUUGUGGCUAAAGGCUGCUUUGCAGACCACAAGUACUGCAGGAGACAGGACUGCGUCCCACUGCAACACAGCAUCACAUACGAGGGCAAGAGGGUCUGCUGAAUGGGAGAAGGAUCUGCGUUUCACAGGGAUCCACUGCUUGGAAAAGGCUGAGAAUCACAACAUCAGGCCACUUCUCAGAGCCUGUUCUCAAGAGCUGCAGAUGGGUUCGAAAGCACAGGCACAGCAGUACCCAUCGCUGAGUGCUCAUCUGGAAAUGAUGUUCCCUUUCCA